UACGUAGGGUGCGAGCGUUAAUCGGAAUUACUGGGCGUAAAGCGUGCGCAGGCGGUUCGUUGUGUCGGCGGUGAAAGCCCCGGGCUCAACCUGGGAAUGGCCGUUGAAACUGGCGAACUGGAGUGUGGCAGAGGGGGGGGUGGAAUUCCGCGUGUAGCAGUGAAAUGCGUAGAGAUGCGGAGGAACACCGAUGGCGAAGGCAGCCCCCUGGGCUGACACUGACGCUCAGGCACGAAAGCGUGGGGAGCAAACAGG
rnacentral:rRNA from 1 species